rnacentral:rRNA from 1 species
UACGUAGGGGGCUAGCGUUGUCCGGAAUCAUUGGGCGUAAAGCGCGUGUAGGCGGUUCGGUAAGUCCGCUGUGAAAGUCGGGGGCUCAACCCUCGGAUGCCGGUGGAUACUGUCGAGCUUGAGUACGGAAGAGGCGAGUGGAAUUCCUGGUGUAGCGGUGAAAUGCGCAGAUAUCAGGAGGAACACCAAUUGCGAAGGCAGCUCGCUGGGACGUUACUGACGCUGGAGACGCGAAAGCGUGGGGAGCAAACAGG